ACCAGACUCCUACGGGAGGCAGCAGUGGGGGAUAUUGCACAAUGGGGGGAACCCUGAUGCAGCGACGCCGCGUGGGUGAAGAAGCGCCUCGGCGCGUAAAGCCCUUUCAGCAGGGAAGAAAAUGACGGUACCUGAAGAAGAAGCCCCGGCUAACUACGUGUCAGCAGCCGCGGUAAUACGUAGGGGGCAAGCGUUAUCCGGAUUUACUGGGUGUAAAGGGAGCGUAGACGGCGAUGCAAGUCUGAAGUGAAAGGCGGGGGCCCAACCCCCGGACUGCUUUGGAAACUGGAUGGCUGGAGUGCAGGAGAGGUAAGUGGAAUUCCUAGUGUAGCGGUGAAAUGCGUAGAUAUUAGGAGGAACACCAGUGGCGAAGGCGGCCUACUGGACUGUAACUGACGUUGAGGCUCGAAAGCGUGGGGAGCAAACAGGAUUAGAUACCCGCGUAUGC
rnacentral:rRNA from 1 species